GGCUCUGACCAAGGAGCUGGAGUUCGAGGUGCCCUUCCGGGACCUGGGAUUUAACGGCGCCCCAUACAGGAGCACGUGUAUGUUGCAGCCCACCAGCAGCUCCCUGGUCAACGUGACUGAGUGGCCCCCCUUUGUGGUGACGCUGGAUGAGGUGGAGCUGGUCCACUUUGAGCGCGUGCAGUUCCACCUGAAGAACUUUGACAUGGUGAUCGUGUACAAGGAUUACAGCAAGAAGGUCACCAUGAUCAACGCCAUCCCCGUCGCAUCCCUCGACCCCAUCAAGGAAUGGCUCAAGUACG